UUUUCUUUAGCUUACAUUUAAAGCGUUAGUUUGAAGCACUGAAGUUAAUUUUUAUUAAGAAGGC
rnacentral:tRNA from 1 species